rnacentral:rRNA from 1 species
CGUAGGGUGCGAGCGUUAAUCGGAAUUACUGGGCGUAAAGUGUGCGCAGGCGGCGUCGCAAGUCGAGUGUGAAAUCCCCGGGCUUAACUUGGGAAUUGCGCUCGAAACUACGAUGCUGGAGUGUGGCAGAGGGGGGUGGAAUUCCACGUGUAGCGGUGAAAUGCGUAGAGAUGUGGAGGAACACCGAUGGCGAAGGCAGCCCCCUGGGCCAACACUGACGCUCAUGCACGAAAGCGUGGGGAGCAAACAGGAUUAGAUACCCUGGUAGUCCACGCCCUAAACGAUGAUGACUAGUUGUUGGAGGAGUUAAAUCCUUUAGUAACGCAGCUAACGCGUGAAGUCAUCCGCCUGGGGAGUACGGUCGCAAGAUUA